GAACACAGCGCUGGGGAGGAGCUGGGGCCUGCGGAGGCGAUCGGGAAAAGGGGCGGGAGGAGUUUAUAAAGCCGGAGUGCGCGGGGGAAACUGCCGGGAGGCUGUAGGGCGGUGAUGGUCCGUGUGCUCGGAGCCGCUGGACACGGCUCGGUGGCGGGCUGUGGGCUGCCGCAUCCCCAGGAGCUGCGGGCUUGGCGGGCGCGGCCGUGUCACCACCGGAGCGAGCGGCGGUGUGUCGGGGCAAAACCUCGGCUGGGGAAGCCCCGGCACAAGGCUCGGAAUAACUUCAGAAGCGUGUCAGUCCGAUUAUGGAAUCCUCAUGAAACCCUGUCCUCCUCUCCUAAGUAAAAAACGUGUUUACUAAAAACAUAAGACUGUGUGUGUGGGAGUGCACGUCUGUGUUCCGAGAGAAAGUAUUUCUCAGGUCCUGGACGGAAUUUGUCGUCUGUGGACGUGAGGAAGAUGUCAGCAAGCCGGGAAAUUCCCUCCUAGGCACUCCAGAGCCAAUCCUCCGUGUCUGACAUGAACCAGCACCCUGCCUCAGCCAGGCUCUGACGUUCUACCCUUGACACAGCAGCAGCUUGGCCUUCCUCAACAAGGACACUGCUAUUCCGAUUGGGUUUGGAUUAUAUCUUGUACAUGAUAUCAUAAUAAAAUUAGGAUUUGAUUAAUAAAAUUGGGAUCUCUGCAGGAAGGAUGAAAAGUAAAACGUUUGGUGUAACACUGACGAUGCUAAAUAUGUGGUGAUGAUGUGAGGGGGUUUUAUUGUUUUAUUGAUGUAAAAAGUAGCCAUGUUGAAAAUAAGUAAGUACUUCUGGAAAUCGUUGAUAAGGCUUCCAGGUAGACUGUUUUCAAAUUGUGAUUAGAAAUAAUGCAGUUGAGAGAAGAUGGGAAUAGUCAACUCAGAAUUUGGUUCUUUAUUUAGCGAGGUACAGUGUUUUCCUGUUGCAGAGAAGGGCUAUAAAGCACCAUUUUACUUUCUCAGUGCCUGAGUGAUGAACGAUUCCUGUCUUAAUCUAUUAAACUGGCAGAACCAAGGGGGUCAUAAGAAAGAAAAUUUGGUUCCCUAUACAGAUUUUUAUUAUUGCACUAUGAAAGUAUGUCAUUAUUAUGUUGAAAAUUUGCGUGUUUUGAGUCCCUAUAAACUAGUAAACAUCCAAAUAAUCACUGUAGGGAAGAAAAACCACCAGGUAACGUAUGAAUAGUUGACUCCAGAGAGCUUUGUCCUAAAUAUAUAUUUAUUGUAGCUCCUUAAAGUCAACUUUGAAACAAGAAUCAGAAAGAGUAGUGUCUGGUAUAUGUGGCUAUCUGUAAAGACAUACAGAUGCUCUCUGUGAAUGUAUUUUAAAGUGUCUUCCACGUGUGUUUUGAUACGGACUACAUUACCAGUCAGAUGCCAACAUAUUGCAGCAUGGCAGGACACAUGGCUAAUCCUCUGCAAGUCAUGCAAUCCUCUCAAAUCCUGGGGUGAAAUUCAGGCGUAGCUCGCCUUGGCUGGGACACUGUUACCAGCGUGCCGCAGUCCUCCCUUCUGUGCUUGAACACAUCCAAAAUAAAUGCCAAUCACUGACAAUUGAUAACCCAGGGACGUAAGUAAAACUUCCACUGGGCUGGGGCACGUUUUCAUGCUGCAGAGCUGAACUCCUGAGAGAGAGAAGAGCUGGCUGCUGUGGCCGAGGGACCCAAAGGCCGGUAGGUGGCUGUGUUUCACCGCUGUCAUCGCCUGCAAAACAACCCCCGGCCCCAAAAACAGCCACCUGCUCCUACCGUUCCUGCAUUUCUUUCUCUCCGGAUGAACCGGGCAUUUUACCUGUAUCAAGAAAUAAAUAUUCACGUGCACAUGUUUACGUUGAUGAAACAG